rnacentral:rRNA from 1 species
UACGGAGGGGGCUAGCGUUGUUCGGAAUUACUGGGCGUAAAGCGCGCGUAGACGGACCUGCAAGUCGGGGGUGAAAGCCCGAGGCUCAACCUCGGAACUGCCUUCGAUACUGCGGGUCUCGAGUCCGGGAGAGGUGAGUGGAAUUCCUAGUGUAGAGGUGAAAUUCGUAGAUAUUAGGAAGAACACCAGUGGCGAAGGCGGCUCACUGGCCCGGUACUGACGCUGAGGUGCGAAAGCGUGGGGAGCAAACAGG